GUGUAACCCUGAUGCUUUGCCCUGUCAAACAAGGAUGAGGUAUGAACUUGUAUUAAAUGAGUGACAUGCACCAAGAGGAUGAGACCUCUCCGUGGCUAGAAUCAUUGUUGGUACUCAGCAUAUCCUAAGAUACAGAUGUCUCCAAGGACUGUGAAUACACUACAAGGAACAGAGAGCUGCCUGUUUCUCUGGCAGGACCCAAUUCUCCUCUGUCAAGAAAUAUGAAAGUAACAGAGAAACUGUUGACAGCUCCGUGAUUUCUUACUUGGCUGGAGACUGACCAUGACACAGAACAGGCCAACCUCAAGACUUCUUUAAAGCUGUUUACCCAAAAUUUGCAUUAAAAACAUUUGAUGGUGUUA